GGGCCUAUAGCUCAGUUGGUCAGAGCGCACGCCUGAUAAGCGUGAGGUCAGUAGUUCAAAUCUACUUAGGCCCACCA
rnacentral:tRNA from 1 species